rnacentral:rRNA from 1 species
ACAGGGAUUGCCCUAGUAACGGCGAGUGAAGCGGCAACAGCUCAAAUUUGAAAUCUGGCCCUAGGCCCGAGUUGUAAUUUGCAGAGGAUGCUUCGGGCGCGGUGCCUUCCAAGUCCCCUGGAACGGGGCGCCGGAGAGGGUGAGAGCCCCGUACGGUUGGCGGCCAAGCCUGUGUGAAGCUCCUUCGACGAGUCGAGUAGUUUGGGAAUGCUGCUCUAAGCGGGAGGUAGACCCCUUCUAAAGCUAAAUAUAGGCCAGAGACCGAUAGCGCACAAGUAGAGUGAUCGAAAGAUGAAAAGCACUUUGAAAAGAGGGUUAAAUAGCACGUGAAAUUGUUGAAAGGGAAGCGCUUGUGACCAGACGUGCGCCGGGGUGUUCAGCGGGCGUUCUCGCCCGUGCACUCGCCUCGGCGCAGGCCAGCGUCGGUUCGAGUGGGAGGAUAAAGGCGUCUGGAAUGUGGCUCCUUCGGGAGUGUUAUAGCCAGACGUGCCAUGCUCCCGCCCGGACCGAGGUACGCGUUCUGCAAGGACGCUGGCGUAAUGGUCUCCAGCGACCCGUCUUGAAACACGGACCAAGGAGUCGAGGUUUUGCGCGAGUGUUUGGGUGUUAAACCCGCACGCGUAAUGAAAGUGAACGUAGGUGGGAGCUUCGGCGCACCACCGACCGAUCCUGAUGUUUUCGGAUGGAUUUGAGUAAGAGCGUAGGGCCUCGGACCCGAAAGAUGGUGAACUAUGCUUGGAUAGGGUGAAGCCAGAGGAAACUCUGGUGGAGGCUCGCAGCGGUUCUGACGUGCAAAUCGAUCGUCAAAUCUGAGCAUGGGGGCGAAAGACUAAUCGAACCAUC